GAUAGCUUUCAACUUCUUGUUAACUCAAGCUAUUCCUUUCUAGUUUGGUUUUCCACGACGACCUCAUCGCACGACAAGUCGUUGAUCUCAUUUCCGCUCUCUGCGCUUCCGCUGAUGCUUCGCUCUGAGCUGACUUCGUCGCUAGGGUUUCAGAUCGCCUCUCGUCCGAUCCGUUGGCCUUGAAUCGCCGUCAGAUUAUAUGUGAUGAGGCUGGUGUAUCAUUAUGGUCUUUAUAGGGAUAUCACCAAGGUUAGCCACCAAAUUCCCUACAUUCCAGAAGCCGAGUCCUGUUUGAGAUUUUAAGUGAAAAUGAAUGGGAUUUGCCUUCUGCAAGAAUUCACCCAAUAGCAUUGAAAUGGUUGUUUCAACAAGAGAAAAUCAACAGGCCAUUGUCUUAUCAUCUGCAGAAAUUUUGUGGAAGGAAUAUAGCAAAUGGCUCUGACAUCAUCAUCCAUGGAAAGAAGAGUGUCAUGUGUGAUGCUUGCGUGGUAUUGGGAAUGCUUUCCACAGUCUUUAUUGUAUAUCAACAAAUACAGUCCCCACAGAUAUCACAGCCGUCUUAGUUUUAAUUUUUAAACUUUAUGCUCAGUGCACCAUGGAACUCUUUCUCAUGAAGACUCUUGGCUUGCAGCGACUAUGACGGUUUUAUAAGGUGUGGAGAAGUCUUAAUAUUGGUGCCUCUUAUAAUUUACUGCUCGUUAAGAAGGUGUGCAUAAAACAAAAGUACACUGCCAACAGUCAAGAUGAAAGUGCAGAAGAGCAUAAAAGGAGGUGGUGGUCACUAUCUUGUACAAUUCGGGAGAAGUUUGUGAGUAUUUCAUUCAUGAUGUCAUCUGAGUCAUCUCUAUAUACUAGACAGGGAUUCUGGAGGAUUACAUUUUCGGGAUAAGAGAUUGUUAGACGAAAUAUAGCUUUUCUUUAAUACUUUUACAGUAACAGAUGGCAGCUAAGAAAAUCAUAUUAGUGGUUCAAAGAGUGAAAGCACCUGCAAGCAUUUGUGAUCAUUGAUUGCAUGAAUAGCUGAAAAAAUGCAUUGGAAGGGGCUGACUUUUUUUAUAAUAUUUGAUUCUUGUCAAGAAAGUUUGCGACUUUAAUGGUUAUCGUGUUAGACACUGUAACCUUGGUUCCCAUCUAACCUAGAUUGUUAGAGCUUGGAAGUUAAGAGACAAAAUCCGAUAGACA